rnacentral:rRNA from 1 species
AUAAUGGGUCAGCGACUUAUAUUCUGUAGCAAGGUUAACCGAAUAGGGGAGCCGAAGGGAAACCGAGUCUUAACUGGGCGUUAAGUUGCAGGGUAUAGACCCGAAACCCGGUGAUCUAGCCAUGGGCAGGUUGAAGGUUGGGUAACACUAACUGGAGGACCGAACCGACUAAUGUUGAAAAAUUAGCGGAUGACUUGUGGCUGGGGGUGAAAGGCCAAUCAAACCGGGAGAUAGCUGGUUCUCCCCGAAAGCUAUUUAGGUAGCGCCUCGUGAAUUCAUCUCCGGGGGUAGAGCACUGUUUCGGCAAGGGGGUCAUCCCGACUUACCAACCCGAUGCAAACUGCGAAUACCGGAGAAUGUUAUCACGGGAGACACACGGCGGGUGCUAACGUCCGUCGUGAAGAGGGAAACAACCCAGACCGCCAGCUAAGGUCCCAAAGUCAUGGUUAAGUGGGAAACGAUGUGGGAAGGCCCAGACAGCCAGGAUGUUGGCUUAGAAGCAGCCAUCAUUUAAAGAAAGCGUAAUAGCUCACUGGUCGAGUCGGCCUGCGCGGAAGAUGUAACGGGGCUAAACCAUGCACCGAAGCUGCGGCAGCGACGCUUAUGCGUUGUUGGGUAGGGGAGCGUUCUGUAAGCCUGCGAAGGUGUGCUGUGAGGCAUGCUGGAGGUAUCAGAAGUGCGAAUGCUGACAUAAGUAACGAUAAAGCGGGUGAAAAGCCCGCUCGCCGGAAGACCAAGGGUUCCUGUCCAACGUUAAUCGGGGCAGGGUGAGUCGACCCCUAAGGCGAGGCCGAAAGGCGUAGUCGAUGGGAAACAGGUUAAUAUUCCUGUACUUGGUGUUACUGCGAAGGGGGGACGGAGAAGGCUAUGUUGGCCGGGCGACGGUUGUCCCGGUUUAAGCGUGUAGGCUGGUUUUCCAGGCAAAUCCGGAAAACUAAGGCUGAGGCG